CUGCUGCUGAGGCCAGCAGAGGAGGGAGCAGAGGAUCUCAUACUGCACUGAGCAGAGAAGCUGAGCAGCUGAUUACACAGGAUGGUUGGAGUUUCCCAAAAUGAUGACGGCCCAGUGGUUAGCAGUUCGUUGAAUAACAGGAAAUCAUCUGUUGUUCAGGCCUGUUGGCUUCUCAGCAUCAGCCAAAGAACCUUGUAUGCUAACCUUGUGUGCUACCCUUGCAGGCUGGAGAGUUGGGUGUUCCAUUUACUGGCUUAACCGACUUGUUAGAAGUAUGAGCAAGGAAUUAUUCAGUGUUUCAGAUAAAAUACAUGCAGAGGCGACACGUGAUUAAGACAACAGUGGCUUCGUGGCUCUUAGAGGCAAGACUACAGCUCUUUGCUAGAGGUGGGGCAAUCUCAGCCUGACACACGUGGGUGAGGUAUGUGCUGUUAGUGGUAGCAUUCCGUGGGCCUCUACCACCUGGAAUUCACUUGAGCAAAGGAUGAGAUCGGAGAGCUGAGAGGGGAGGAGGGGCUUUGGCUUUUGCAGCCUGGCCCAGGGCAGGGUCCAUGCAAACGCUCUGAUGGAUGACAAGGAUACCAGGACUGUUUCCUUCAGCAGCAGGCACUGGCCUUUCUCCAGAUCUUCUGUAAUUUCUGUUACAGAAGAUUUUCUGAUGUCGGUUUAUCCUAAAUUUGCUCAAAUCCUGGGUAUAAUUCUGUGUUGGGGUGGGGGGGCGUGUAAUUCUAGUCGUUGAACUACUUUUCUGUAAUUGCAUUUGCCCACAGCUAGCUGUCUAAUCUGCCUCUCCCCAAAUCCCUACCAAUCCUGUUGGAAUCCACUUAUAGCUGCAUAUGCAGGAAGGGACCAAAUCUGCAGGACCAGGGAUGGGGCAGGGCCCAGGGAUGCUUGUGUCCCAGCUGUCCCACUCCACUGCAACAGAGCCAAUGUGGCAUCAGCAGGAACCAUCUGCUUGCUGCAACACCAGCAUCAUACCUACAAGGCACUCGUGUUACAUCUUGCCCCUCUUUUUUCAGCACAGGGAGCUGAAUCAUAACCUUUGUCCAUUGCGGGAACUUCCUCUCCUCCUCUCACCAUCUUCUUGUAUUCUGUUGGAGUGUGUCCAGAGGAGGGCCACAAAAACGGUCCAAGGGAUGGGAACACCUCCCUGUGAGGAUAGCCUGAGAGCGGCCUGUCAGUACCUUGUGUGGGGCUAGAGGAAAGAAGAGGGCAGGCUCUUCAGCAGGGCCUGUUAUGAUAGGAAAAGGGGAAAUGGUUUCAAAGUAAAAGAGGGAACAUCUAGGUUGGGUAUAAGGAAGAAGAUUUUUACACUAGGACUGGUGAGUCACUGGCACAGGAUGCCCAGAGAGGUGGUGGAUGUCCCAUCCUUGGAGGCAUUCAACGUCAGGCUGGACGGGGCUCGGAGCACCUGAUUGAGCUGUAGGUGUCCCUGCUUACUGCAAGGCAGUUGGAUUAGAUGGCCUUAAGGGUCUCUUCCAACUCAAACCAUUCUAUGAAAUAGAUAACAAACCUAAGAGAGUUCUUACACUGGAGGUGUUGAAGAACUAUGGAGAUGUGGCACCCAGGAAUGUGGUUAGUGGGCGUGGUAGGGAUGGAUUGGUGGUUGGACGUGAUGAUCUUAGUAGGCCUUUCCAACCUUAAUGAUUCUGUGGUUCUAUGUAAAACUGGCCAAUGAGUGGGCUCUGCAAACAAGAGCUGUGCUUCAUAGGGAGCUCACUCUCACAGCUCCUCCAUGUUGCCCCUUUCUCAGUGCAGGAAGCCAUCAGCAGCACUUGCAGGCUGCCAGCUCUUCCUGCUUUGUUUCAAGCACAACUUAAAGGCUCUUCAAAUGAAGUAAUCUUCAUUUCUGACAGCCACAACCCAGCAGGAAAGGACACAACAGCUCUCCUUGAAUUGCACAGCUGCCGUUUUGCAUUUUUGAGUUUGGUACCCGGGGAAUUAGAAAUGUCAGUAGUUCCAUUUAGUUUUCCUAUGGUAAUAUUAAAGUCUUCCAGCUGUGGGGGUAAUUUCAAGUCAAAAACAAACAAACAAAAGAGUUGAAUCACAGUUUCAUGAUCCUGUGAUCCCCCUAUAGGAAAAACCAAACCUUGCCUACACUGAAACAUUCAAGGUGUUUCAAGGAUAGUGUCAGAAAAACUUCCAUUGCGGGAUCAGACAUCUCCCAGGGCAGGGGAGGAAGAGGUGUUCCAGCUGACCCAAAGCUGAGGUCUGCUCAAUAUACAUCAUUUUCGUGUUCCUACUUCAGUCUGUUUUCCUUUUCAGCACCGCCCUUUUGAUGCUUUUCCCUUAUAACUGCUUUGGACCAUGGAAAACCAGACACGGGCGGAGGCUUCUCGCUGCCCCUUCCUGCUUGGACAUUCAGAUGGGAGUGAGGUUGGAGGUGUGAGUGGGGUUUGAUGCAGGGGUAGAAGAUGACUGCUGGGACAGAAAUUGCAAAGAGAUGUGAAAUCUGGAGCUCUGAAGGCUCUGCCUGCUAUUAUCAAGGUGAACCCAGGGCUGUGAGCCUGCAGCACGGUGGGCAACAGCAAGGGUGAGGGAGCACAUUGGUUUUCUUAGAGGAAAAAGUGAGCAAGAAUGACCUCAAUGGAAAAAUAUUUUCUCUCCCUCUCUCUUCCUGCCUUGCAGACAAAUAUAGUGCUACAUGUUAUGCAGAGGCAGUUUUCAAGCACGGUUGGAAUGAGCGACUUUGGAGGCAAAUCGCUACCGCUCGUCUUUGCCUUUAGUUUUGGGCUUUUAUUUCCUUAUUUCCUCUUGUGGAGAUGACACAUCUCUGACAGCUGUUGCAUCUCGGAGCCAUAACAGCCCACAUAGCAACUGCCCUGACACUGGCCCUGUCCUCAGAGCUGUGACAGGCAGCCAGCAGAGCACCACUGCGCUGCAAAGGGCUGGAGCCCAGCAUGAUGCCCAUCCUGAAGCCUGUAUGAGGUGAAAUCCUCUUGGGAGCACCUGGUACAUGAUACCUUGGCUGUGGUGGAGCUCAGUGUAGAGCCAGGAGCCCAGCAAAGGGCCAUGGGCUUACCUGGACCAAGAGAAGAGGUAGGACCCUGGGCAGGGUUCUACCAGCAAGUGCUGCUCGUUGUGGGGCAAUGAGAAUAGCCAUGGCUCUUCCAAACAUGACCAGUGGGGAAAGAUAGGUUGAACUGGGAUUAAAAAAGAUGCCAACUGUUUGAAGAAAGGUGGAAACUGAAUACUAGAAAGACCUUUCCUGCGGUAAGCAAAGGCCAUACUAGACUGCCUGGAGAUCUCUCUAGCACAUCUGUCUAGGAGUUGGUCAGACAAUACCUGUCCACAAAGACAUACAACACAGGCAAUUGUCUCUCUUGGCAGAAUGACUGCUCGGUCUUACAUCAAGCCUGGAUGCUUUUCUUCCCAUCUAAUUUAUGCAUUGAGAAGUGCAAUGAAAGCCCCAGUAUGAAAGUCAUAGAACAUUUUUGCCUGCAGUCAAAAAGGCUGCAAGGAUAUGGAGUUGCUCAGAAAAAAAAAAUCAUUUUCCUUUGUUUCCUGGACAAGCACGGUGCCAAAUGCAUGGGAGAGCAUUCUUCUCCACCAAACCACUCGUGUCUGACUUCCAGAAAAUCAAUCAAAUGAGACAAAACUGAAGCAAACAGAU
ensembl:lncRNA